rnacentral:rRNA from 1 species
UGUGUUGGGGAUAACACUUCUAACGAGGUGCUAAUACCGAAUGAAAAGACGGGGCGCAAGCCUUCGUCUUCAAAGGUGGCCUCUGCUUGCAUGCUGCCGCAUGGAGGUGGGCCCGCGUCGUAUUAGCUAGUUGGUGGGGUAAUGGCCUACCAAGGCGAUGAUGCGUAGCCGGCCUGAGAGGGUGAACGGCCACACUGGAACUGAGACAAGGUCCAGUCCCCUACGGGGGCCAGCAGUCUAGAAAUUUGCACAAUCGACGAAAGUUGGAUGCAGCGACGCCACGUGGAGGAUGAAGCCCCUCGGGGUGUAAACUCCUGUCAGAAGGGAAGAAGGCGCGGCCGUUAAUACCGGUCGCUGCUUGACGGUACCUUCAAAGGAAGCUCCGGCUAACUACGUGCCAGCAGCCGCGGUAAUACGUAGGGAGCGAGCGUUGUUCGGAUUUACUGGGCGUAAAGGGCAGGUAGGCGGGUGUGUAAGUCGGUUGUGAAAUCCUCUGGCUCAACCAGAGAAUGGCAGCCGAAACUGCACGUCUUGAGUCCAGCAGAGGGAAUCGGAAUCCUAGGUGUAGCGGUGAAAUGCGUAGAUAUCUAGGAGAACACCAGUGGCGAAGGCGGAUUCCUGGGCUGGUACUGACGCUGAGCUGCGAAAGCGUGGGGAGCGAACAGGAUUAGAUACCCUGGUAGUCCACGCCGUAAACGAUGGGUACUAGGUGUUGGAGGACAUUGACCCCUCCAGUGCCGUAGCUAACGCACUAAGUACCCCGCCUGGGGAGUACGACCGCAAGGUUGAAACUCAAAGGAAUUGACGGGGACCCGCACAAGCAGUGGAGCAUGCUGCUCAAUUCGAGGCAACGCGAAGAACCUUACCUGGGCUUGACAUCCGGGGAAUCCUCUGGAAACAGGGGAGUGCCUUCGGGAACCCCGAGACAGGUGCUGCAUGGUUGUCGUCAGCUCGUGUCGUGAGAUGUUGGGUUAAGUCCCGCAACGAGCGCAACCCUUGUCCUUAGUUGCCAUCGGGUAAUGCCGGGAACUCUAGGGAGACUGCCGGUGAUAAGCCGGAGGAAGGUGGGGAUGACGUCAAAUCAUCAUGGCUCUUACGUCCAGGGCUGCAAGCGUGCUACAAUGGCCGGCACAAAGGGCUGCAAUGCCGCGAGGCGGAGCCAAUCCCAAAAAACCGGUCUCAGUUCGGAUUGAAGUCUGCAACUCGACUUCAUGAAGU